rnacentral:rRNA from 1 species
CGUGUAGGCGGUUGGGUUAGUCAGAUGUGAAAGCCUUCUGCUCAACAGAGGAAGUACGUCUGAAACUGCCCAACUUGAGUACGAGAGAGGAAAGUGGAAUUCCCAGUGUAGAGGUGAAAUUCGUAGAUAUUGGGAGGAACACCCGUGGCGAAGGCGACUUUCUGGAUCGAUACUGACGCUGAGACGCGAAAGCGUGGGGAGCAAACAGGAUUAGAUACCCUGGUAGUCC